rnacentral:lncRNA from 1 species
CGGGUUGCUGUUCUUUCACCUGACACUAAAGCGCCAUGCCGGAAGCACUGAGUCUGAUACGUCGGAACCAGUCUCCACCGUGUGGUUUGGUCUUGAUUUCCACUGGUACUCUGGGGUCUUGGAUAAGUCUCUGGACCUCGCCUUUGUCAUUUGCGAAGUCGAUAGGUUCCAAUAGAGAUUUUCCCAGAAUCAUUCAACUAAAAAUAGAGAACUUUUUUUUUUUGAGAGGAAGGACGGGGGCGCAGUUAAAGAUGUUAAUGUUAAGUCAUCCCUUCUGUGAUUUCGGGACAUUAUCUUUGCACGCCAUGUGAAGAUGUGCUUGCUUCCUUGUCACCUUCCGCCAUGAUUGUAAGUUUCCUGAGGCCUCCCAGGAAGCAGAAGCCUGUACAGCCCACAGAACCAUGACCUGAUGAAAUCUCUUUUCUUUAUAAAUUACCCAGUCUCAGAACGCAUGCAUCUUGGGAAAACAAAAUGGCAA